GAUGAACGCUGGCGGCGUGCCUAAUACAUGCAAGUCGAGCGAACAGACGAGGAGCUUGCUCCUCUGACGUUAGCGGCGGACGGGUGAGUAACACGUGGAUAACCUACCUAUAAGACCGGGAUAACUUCGGGAAACCGGAGCUAAUACCGGAUAAUAUAUUGAACCGCAUGGUUCAAUAGUGAAAGACGGUUUUGCUGUCACUUAUAGAUGGAUCCGCGCCGCAUUAGCUAGUUGGUAAGGUAACGGCUUACCAAGGCAACGAUGCGUAGCCGACCUGAGAGGCUGAUCGGCCGCACUGGAGCUGAGACGCGGUCCAGACUCCUACGGGAGGCAGCAGUAGGGAAUCUUCCGCAAUGGGCGAAAGCCUUACGGAGCAACGCCGCGUGAGUGAUGAAGGUCUUCGGAUCGUAAAACUCUGUUAUUAGGGAAGAACAAAUGUGUAAGUAACUAUGCACGUCUUGACGGUACCUAAUCAGAAAGCCACGGCUAACUACGUG
rnacentral:rRNA from 1 species